CGCGUAGGCGGCUUGCCAAGUCAAGGGUGAAAUCUUUCGGCCCAACCGGAAAAGGGCCUUUGAUACUGGCAGGCUAGAGCGAGGUAGGGGCAGAUGGAACUUCCGGUGGAGCGGUGAAAUGUGUUGAUAUCGGAAGGAACGCCGGUGGCGAAAGCGAUCUGCUGGACCUCUUCUGACGCUGAGGCGCGAAAGCCAGGGGAGCAAACG
rnacentral:rRNA from 1 species